ACGGGGGGUGCUAGCGUUAAUCGGAUUUAUUGGGCGUAAAGCGCGCGUAGGCGGCUUCAUAAGUCAGAUGUGAAAGCCCGGGGCUCAACCCUGGAAGUACAUUUGAAACUGUGGAGCUUGAGUAUGGGAGAGGGAAGUGGAAUUCCUGGUGUAGCGGUGAAAUGCGUAGAUAUCAGGAGGAACACCGGUGGCGAAGGCGACUUCCUGGACCAAUACUGACGCUGAGGCGCGAAGGCGUGGGGAGCAAACAGGAUUAGAUACCCUGGUAGUCCACGCAGUAAACGUUGAUCACUAGGUGUAGCGGGUUUUUACCCCCGCUGUGCCGAAGCUAACGCAUUAAGUGAUCCGCCUGGGGAGUACGAUCGCAAGGUUA
rnacentral:rRNA from 1 species